UUGGUGAGAUCUUCUUAGAGGUACGUUCAUUCUACAAGAUGAAGGAAGAUGGCGGCAAUAACAGGUCUGUGAUCCCCUUAGAUGUCCUGGGCCGCACGCGCGCUACACUGACUGGGGGAGCACGUUGCUUUGUCGUACGACAACGUCCUGGGCCGGAAGGUUUGGGUAAUCGUGUGAAUACCAGUCGUGAUGGGGCUAGAUCUUUGCAAUUAUUGAUCUCCAACGAGGAAUUCCUAGUAAACGCAAGUCAUCAGCUUGCAUUGAUUACGUCCCUGCCCUUUGUACACACCGCCCGUCGCUACUACCGAUUGAAUGGCUUAGUGAGAUCUCCGGAUUGGCUUUGGGAAGCUGGCAACGGCUACCUAUUGCUGAGAAGCUGAUCAAACUUGGUCAUUUAGAGGAAGUAAAAGUCGUAACAAGGUUUCCG
rnacentral:rRNA from 1 species